AUCUGGUUCAGGAUGAACGCUAGCUACAGGCUUAACACAUGCAAGUCAGGGGCAGCAUGUGGUUGCUUGCAACCAAUGAUGGCGACCGGCGCACGGGUGAGUAACGCGUAUCCAACCUCCCCUUAGUAGAGGAUAGCCCGGCGAAAGUCGGAUUAAUACUCUAUGUUCUUCAAUGCGGACAUCUAAGUUGAAGCAAAGAUUUAUCGCUAAGGGAUGGGGAUGCGUCUGAUUAGGUUGCAGGCGGGGUAACGGCCCACCUGGCCUACGAUCAGUAGGGGUUCUGAGAGGAAGGUCCCCCACACUGGUACUGAGACACGGACCAGACUCCUACGGGAGGCAGCAGUGAGGAAUAUUGGUCAAUGGGCGCGAGCCUGAACCAGCCAAGUAGCGUGCAGGAACCGACUGCCCUAUGGGUUGUAAACUGCUUUUAUCAGGGAAUAAAGUGAGGCACGCGUGCCUUUUUGUAUGUACCUGAUGAAUAAGGACCGGCUAAUUCCGUGCCAGCAGCGGC
rnacentral:rRNA from 1 species